rnacentral:rRNA from 1 species
UACGGAGGAUGCGAGCGUUAUCCGGAUUUAUUGGGUUUAAAGGGUGCGUAGGCGGGAUGCCAAGUCAGCGGUAAAAAUGCGGUGCUCAACGCCGUCGAGCCGUUGAAACUGGCGUUCUUGAGUGGGCGAGAAGGAUGCGGAAUGCGUGGUGUAGCGGUGAAAUGCAUAGAUAUCACGCAGAACUCCGAUUGCGAAGGCAGCAUACCGGCGCCCUACUGACGCUGAGGCACGAAAGCGUGGGUAUCGAACAGG